rnacentral:rRNA from 1 species
CGUAGGUGGCAAGCGUUGACCGGAAUUAUUGGGCGUAAAGCGCGCGCAGGCGGUUCCUUAAGUCUGAUGUGAAAGCCCCCGGCUCAACCGGGGAAGGUCAUUGGAAACUGGGGAACUUGAGUGCAGAAGAGAAGAGCGGAAUUCCACGUGUAGCGGUGAAAUGCGUAGAGAUGUGGAGGAACACCAGUGGCGAAGGCGGCUCUUUGGUCUGUAACUGACGCUGAGGCGCGAAAGCGUGGGGAGCAAACAGGAUUAGAUACCCUGGUAGUCCACGCCGUAAACGAUGAGUGCUAAGUGUUAGAGGGUUUCCGCCCUUUAGUGCUGCAGCUAACGCAUUAAGCACUCCGCCUGGGGAGUACGGCCGCAAGGCUG